UCUCCCCCGUCCAUCAACGGCGGCGUAUCGGCGGAGGAUCCCUGGUGACGAUGUCGGCUGCCGGGACGUCCGGGGCUCUCCUCCUCUGCCGCCGGCAUCGUCUUCGACCACCAUAUCCGGUUGUUGUCUUGUCUCGGACAAGCCUGCCGGAGGGUACUGCGACGCCAUAUGUCCCUCCUCGCUUUCCUCCUCUUUGCAUGGGUUCCAAUCCGUCAGGCGAAAACACCAAAUCUCUUCUUCGUAUGACAAAGCCGCAAAAUAUCAAGUUGGCUCAUCCAUCUGUCUCUUCUGAUGUUGAUCAUUACGGGCCUUUUGAACUUCUCUUCUCUAUCCUCAUCGAAGGACAGAAUGAUACUUGCUUCGGAAGAUUGGUGUCAGGCAGGUAAUUGCUUCUUGCUGAUAGGAAACUCUCCUUCCAGUUCAGUUUCCACCAGGUGAACAAAUGAGUCAUAGUUGGCAGCCAUUUGAAUCAGGAACAAUCAGAUAUCUCAUCAGGUUUUCAGGAAAGGGGCUGCAAACAUCAAAGCUGAACUUCAUCCGGCCAACCAGCUCUGCAUUAUGAUACUGGUGGUUUUCCGAUCAUAAUCAAAUCGGCGAGGGCAUUGUGGUCGGACAUGCACCGAUCGAGACAGGUUCAGGAUAAGCUCUGGCUGUGGAAGAUGGAAGUUUGUAAUCUGUCAUUCAUACUCUGCAGAAGCAUCAGGAAAGUGAAAGUUCAGAAAGCCUCCUAAUCACGAAGUGGAGUCGGACCAAAAGGGACAUUACUUGCAGAUGCCAUUUGAUCACUGCAUGACCAGCAUGUCCGUCUGGAUUCAGACACCAUUGCCUUUGUGUAGGGAAGCAAGACAUUUGGAGAUACGCUACAGAAUUCAUGAAGCCUCAUCUGUUCAUUUAAUCUUCAUUUGAUGCUUGGCAGUAGUUUAGGAUGAGAAAGGGGCUAAAUGUUUCUGCCAGAGAAGCAUGUACUACGAUACGAUACAGUGUACCUCUCUCCAUGUCAGAAAAUACCAUGCAUCUUUUUGUUGAAUCAAAGACAUUAGUUGAAAGUAA